GAGAAUGCCCGACAUAAUUUGAGGAGGGAUGUGAUCUGGCCGGGGAUGUCUGCACCGAAGAGGCUCCUGGCUGAGCGAGGGCAUUGGACGCCCGCAGAGCGAAGCAGGUAAAUGCAAAACUUACAGCUAUCCUCCCUCAGACACCUCACAGACUGUACUGGUGCUUGAAAAAAAGAAAUCAUACACACGGAACUUCAACCUGAAACUUCAUAACAAAAAAAGUCCACUAAGGUAAGGAAAGCAUUUUGUUGUGCAAAAAGUCCCUCCCCCCUCCUCUGUUCACCUUCAUCUACUGAGGGUCUCACACACACACAAAGUUUCCUUCCAACGGGCGAGUUGGUAAGAAAGAGUCCUCCCUAUGUACAGUGAGUUAGAGAGAAGCUGGAUACAGUGCUGGCAAGAGGCAUUGGGUGAGUGCCUCUAUCUGGAAGUGUCCAUGUUCUCCUCCUUAAAGUUACUGCAGUGCUCUAUAA